rnacentral:rRNA from 1 species
AUUGAACGCUGGCGGCAGGCCUAACACAUGCAAGUCGAGCGGAGGAAGGGAGCUUGCUCCGGGAGUCAGCGGCGGACGGGUGAGUAAUGCCUAGGAAUCUGCCUGGGAGUGGGGGAUAACGUCCGGAAACGGGCGCUAAUACCGCAUACGCCCCGAGGGAGAAAGUGGGGGAUCUUCGGACCUCACGCGAUCAGAUGAGCCUAGGUCGGAUUAGCUAGUUGGUGGGGUAAAGGCCUACCAAGGCGACGAUCCGUAACUGGUCUGAGAGGCUGGUCGGUCACCCUGGAACUGAGCCGCGGUCCAGGCUCCUGCGGGAGGCACCAGUGGGGAAUGUUGGGCAGUGGGCGGGAGCCUUGUCCAACCGUGCCACGUGUGUCGAGGCGAUCUUCGGAUUGUGAAGCCCUUUAAGUUGGUGGAAAGGUCAUUAAGUUGGUACCUUGCUGUUUUGACGUUACCAACAGAAUAAGCACCGGCUAACUUCGUG